AGAGUUUGAUCCUGGCUCAGGAUGAACGCUGGCGGCGUGCUUAACACAUGCAAGUCGAACGAACCUUCGGGUUAGUGGCGGACGGGUGAGUAACGCGUGGGAAUCUGCCCUCAGGAGGGGGAUAACGGCUGGAAACGGCCGCUAAUACCCCAUAUGCCGAGAGGUGAAAAGAAAUUCGCCUGAGGAUGAGCCCGCGUCUGAUUAGCUAGUUGGUGGGGUAAGAGCUCACCAAGGCGACGAUCAGUAGCUGGUCUGAGAGGAUGAUCAGCCACACUGGGACUGAGACACGGCCCAGACUCCUACGGGAGGCAGCAGUGGGGAAUUUUCCGCAAUGGGCGAAAGCCUGACGGAGCAACGCCGCGUGAGGGAUGAAGGCCUCUGGGCUGUAAACCUCUUUUCUCAAGGAAGAAGACAUGACGGUACUUGAGGAAUAAGCCACGGCUAAUUCCGUGCCAGCAGCCGCGGUAAUACGGGAGUGGCAAGCGUUAUCCGGAAUUAUUGGGCGUAAAGCGUCCGCAGGCGGCCCUGUAAGUCUGUCGUUAAAGCGUGGAGCUUAACUCCAUUUAAGCGAUGGAAACUACAGGGCUUGAGUGUGGUAGGGGCAGAGGGAAUUCCCGGUGUAGCGGUGAAAUGCGUAGAUAUCGGGAAGAACACCAGUGGCGAAGGCGCUCUGCUGGGCCAUAACUGACGCUCAUGGACGAAAGCCAGGGGAGCGAAAGGGAUUAGAUACCCCUGUAGUCCUGGCCGUAAACGAUGAACACUAGGUGUCGGGGGAAUCGACCCCCUCGGUGUCGUAGCCAACGCGUUAAGUGUUCCGCCUGGGGAGUACGCACGCAAGUGUGAAACUCAAAGGAAUUGACGGGGGCCCGCACAAGCGUUGGAGUAUGUGGUUUAAUUCGAUGCAACGCGAAGAACCUUACCAGGGUUUGACAUCCUGCGAAUCCCUUGGAAACGAGGGAGUGCCUUCGGGAGCGCAGAGACAGGUGGUGCAUGGCUGUCGUCAGCUCGUGUCGUGAGAUGUUGGGUUAAGUCCCGCAACGAGCGCAACCCACGUCUUUAGUUGCCAGCAUUCAGUUGGGCACUCUAGAGAGACCGCCGGUGAUAAACCGGAGGAAGGUGUGGAUGACGUCAAGUCAUCAUGCCCCUUACAUCCUGGGCUACACACGUACUACAAUGCUACGGACAAAGGGCAGCAAGCUCGCGAGAGUUAGCAAAUCCCAUAAACCGUGGCUCAGUUCAGAUCGUAGGCUGCAACUCGCCUACGUGAAGGAGGAAUCGCUAGUAAUCGCAGGUCAGCAUACUGCGGUGAAUACGUUCCCGGGCCUUGUACACACCGCCCGUCACACCAUGGAAGUUGGCCAUGCCCGAAGUCGUUACUCCAACCC
rnacentral:rRNA from 1 species